rnacentral:sRNA from 1 species
CGCUAUACUAGCCUCUGAAAUUGCCCGCCUGCGUCUGUGGGCGGGUGUUCAAGUAGC